ACUCCUACGGGAGGCAGCAGUGGGGAAUUUUGGACAAUGGGCGAAAGCCUGAUCCAGCAAUGCCGCGUGCAGGAUGAAGGCCUUCGGGUUGUAAACUGCUUUUGUACGGAACGAAAAAGCUCCUUCUAAUACAGGGGGCCCAUGACGGUACCGUAAGAAUAAGCACCGGCUAACUACGUGCCAGCAGCCGCGGUAAUACGUAGGGUGCGAGCGUUAAUCGGAAUUACUGGGCGUAAAGCGUGCGCAGGCGGUUAUGUAAGACAGAUGUGAAAUCCCCGGGCUCAACCUGGGAACUGCAUUUGUGACUGCAUGGCUAGAGUACGGUAGAGGGGGAUGGAAUUCCGCGUGGAGCAGUGAAAUGCGUAGAUAUGCGGAGGAACACCGAUGGCGAAGGCAAUCCCCUGGACCUGUACUGACGCUCAUGCACGAAAGCGUGGGGAGCAAACAGGAUUAGAUACCCUAGUAGUCCC
rnacentral:rRNA from 1 species